rnacentral:rRNA from 1 species
CCUACGGGAGGCAGCAGUGAGGAAUAUUGGUCAAUGGGCGAGAGCCUGAACCAGCAAAGUCGCGUGAGGGAUGACGGUCCUCUGGAUUGUAAACCUCUUUUGUCGGGGAACAAAGGCGCCAACGGGUGGGCGGAUGAGUGUACCCGAAGAAACAGCAUCGGCUAACUCAGUGCCAGCCGCCGCGGUACUACGGGGGAUGCAAGCGUUACCCGGAUGUAUUGGGUUUAAAGGGUUCGUAGGCGGAUAGUCAAGUCAGCGGUAAAAAUGCGGUGCUCAACGCCGUACAGCCGUGGAAACUGGCAGUGUUGAGUGUGCGAGAAGGAUGCGGAAUGCGUGGUGUAGCGGUGAAAUGCAUAGAUAUCACGCAGAACUCCGGUUGCGAAGGCAGCAUACCGGCGCCCUACUGACGCUGAGGCACGAAAGCGUGGGUAUCGAACAGGAUUAGAUACCCUUGUAGUC